UACGUAGGGUCCAAGCGUUAUCCGGAAUCACUGGGCGUAAAGGGUGCGUAGGUGGUGAGGUAAGUCGGAUGUGAAAUCUCCGGGCUCAACCCGGAAAUGGCAUUGGAAACUACCUUGCUGGAGGAUUUGAGGGGGGAUUGGAAUACUUGGUGUAGCAGUGAAAUGCGUAGAUAUCAAGUGGAACACCAGUGGCGAAGGCGAAUCCCUGGAAAAUACCUGACACUGAGGCACGAAAGCUAGGGGAGCAAACAGG
rnacentral:rRNA from 1 species